CUGGUGCCAGCAGCCGCGGUAAUUCCAGCUCCAAUAGCGUAUAUUAAAGUUGUUGCAGUUAAAAAGCUCGUAGUUGAAUUUCGAGACCGGUUUACUGGUCGUGCUUUUGUACGUACUGGUAUUAUUGGUUUCUCCUUUCUGACGAAUCAUAAUGCCAUUAAUUUGGUGUUUUGGGGAAUCAGGACUGUUACUUUGAAAAAAUUAGAGUGUUUAAAGCAGGCUCACGCUUGAAUACAUUAGCAUGGAAUAACGAAAUAGGACGUUUGAUUUUAUUUUGUUGGUUUCUAGGAUCGACGUAAUGAUUAAUAGGGAUAGUUGGGGGCAUUAGUAUUCAAUUGUCAGAGGUGAAAUUCUUGGAUUUAUUGAAGACUAACUACUGCGAAAGCAUUUGCCAAGGAUGUUUUCAUUAAUCAAGAACGAAAGUUAGGGGAUCGAAGACGAUCAGAUACCGUCGUAGUCUNAACCNUAAACUAUGCCGACUAGGGAUCGGACGC
rnacentral:rRNA from 1 species